ACAGGGACAUCUCUCAAGGUUACUCCUUGAGGCUGAGAGAUUCUCUGCCUGUGACAGAUAGUCAUUGACUAAUAGCUAGCUCAUUGAGACUUUGCAAGUAAUUUGCUAAGCAUGAUGAAACUUUGUAAUCUUAGCUAAGUGAUAUAAAGGAUUGGUUGUGCAUAUGAUUCUUUAGGUAUCAGCUCUUAAGUCUGGGAUUGUGUUGUAUCUAGACUCACUCCUUGGAGUUUGGAUGGCAAGAGGGGCUCCACUCUGAACCUUGUGACUCAAGAAGGAAGACAAAUUUAUCAAGUAUGUUUUGUGUCACUUUACCAGCCUUGCUUUGCUGAAUGCCCUCACCUGCUCUGGGGAUCUCAGCACCCGACCUUUCCUCUCCCACUUGAUCUCUCCCUUCUUCCUUCUGG